rnacentral:precursor_RNA from 12 species
UCUCCUACCAUCCUUCCUUCCAUUUGCCUCAGCUGUACAAAUGUGACAUUUUAUAGAUAAUAAUAAAGUCGUCAUAUUAUGUGCAGCAGUGGCAGUGGGAGAUAAGCCUUCCAGACAGAC